GGAGAAUAAGGAUUUUUAGAAGGGUCGGAGACCUAGCUUCAUGCUUCGGGCGGAGAAAAAAGACAGAGGAUUGGGAUUUUUUUUCUUCAUAGGGUUUUGGAAAGACGGAGGCAAUCGUUGCUGAAGUCAGUGUUGUACUAGUGAAUCGGGGUUUUAAUGAAGUGGGUGUGAUUACUCUUGACUGUUUUGUGAAAUCGAAGUUACGUCUGUGAUUGAAGGAUUAAAAGAGUGUCUAUAGGAUU
rnacentral:lncRNA from 1 species